CUUUAGAAGUUUUGAUUCAUGGCUCAGGAUGAACGCUGGCGGCGUGCCUAAUACAUGCAAGUCGAGCGAACAGACGAGGAGCUUGCUCCUCUGACGUUAGCGGCGGACGGGUGAGUAACACGUGGAUAACCUACCUAUAAGACUGGGAUAACUUCGGGAAACCGGAGCUAAUACCGGAUAAUAUAUUGAACCGCAUGGUUCAAUAGUGAAAGACGGUUUUGCUGUCACUUAUAGAUGGAUCCGCGCCGCAUUAGCUAGUUGGUAAGGUAACGGCUUACCAAGGCAACGAUGCGUAGCCGACCUGAGAGGGUGAUCGGCCACACUGGAACUGAGACACGGUCCAGACUCCUACGGGAGGCAGCAGUAGGGAAUCUUCCGCAAUGGGCGAAAACCUGACGGAGCAACGCCGCGUGAGUGAUGAAGGUCUUCGGAUCGUAAAACUCUGUUAUUAGGGAAGAACAAAUGUGUAAGUAACUAUGCACGUCUUGACGGUACCUAAUCAGAAAACCACGGCUAACUACGUGCCAGCAGCCGCGGUAAUACGUAGGUGGCAAGCGUUAUCCGGAAUUAUUGGGCGUAAAGCGCGCGUAGGCGGUUUUUUAAGUCUGAUGUGAAAGCCCACGGCUCAACCGUGGAGGGUCAUUGGAAACUGGAAAACUUGAGUGCAGAAGAGGAAAGUGGAAUUCCAUGUGUAGCGGUGAAAUGCGCAGAGAUAUGGAGGAACACCAGUGGCGAAGGCGACUUUCUGGUCUGUAACUGACGCUGAUGUGCGAAAGCGUGGGGAUCAAACAGGAUUAGAUACCCUGGUAGUCCACGCCGUAAACGAUGAGUGCUAAGUGUUAGGGGGUUUCCGCCCCUUA
rnacentral:rRNA from 1 species